rnacentral:rRNA from 1 species
CCCUUAGAUGUUCUGGGCCGCACGCGUGCUACACUGAGUGGAUCAGCGGGUCAGGUUGCGCGAAAGUGUUUCCUAAUCUUGAAAUCCGCUCGUGAUGGGGAUUGACGGUUGCAAUUUUCCGUCAUGAACGAGGAAUACCUUGUAAGCGCGGGUCAUCAUCCCGCGCUGAAUACGUCCCUGCCCUUUGUACACACCGCCCGUCGCUCCUACCGAUUGAGUGGUCCGGUGAAUAAUUCGGACUGCGGCAUUGACCGGUUCCCGAUCGUUGCUGCGGAAAGUUUAGUGAACCUUAUCACUUAGAGGAAGGAGAAGUCGUAACA